rnacentral:pre_miRNA from 1 species
AGCCUUUUGUAUCCGUGCUGAGAUUUUGCCACACACCAGAGCAGAAAGACUGACGAGACUCCUAGGAUAAGUGAAGCG